CGCGAAGAACCUUACCWGGUCUUGACAUCCACGGAAGUUUUCAGAGAUGAGAAUGUGCCUUCGGGAACCGUGAGACAGGUGCUGCAUGGCUGUCGUCAGCUCGUGUUGUGAAAUGUUGGGUUAAGUCCCGCAACGAGCGCAACCCUUAUCCUUUGUUGCCAGCGGUCCGGCCGGGAACUCAAAGGAGACUGCCAGUGAUAAACUGGAGGAAGGUGGGGAUGACGUCAAGUCAUCAUGGCCCUUACGACCAGGGCUACACACGUGCUACAAUGGCGCAUACAAAGAGAAGCGACCUCGCGAGAGCAAGCGGACCUCAUAAAGUGCGUCGUAGUCCGGAUUGGAGUCUGCAACUCGACUCCAUGAAGUCGGAAUCGCUAGUAAUCGUGGAUCAGAAUGCCACGGUGAAUACGUUCCCGGGUCUUGUACACACC
rnacentral:rRNA from 1 species